rnacentral:rRNA from 1 species
UAGUUAUAUUCUUUAAACCUAAAGAAUUUGGCGGUGUUUUAGUCUAUUUAGAGGAAUUUGCUCUUUAAUCGAUAAUCCUCGUUUUAUCUAACUUUUUUUUGUUUUCAGUAUGUAUACCGCCGUUAUAAGUUUAUUUUUUUAGAAUUUUAAUUUACAAUAAUCUUUAUUUUGUUUUAUUUCAGGUCAAGGUGCAGUUUAUAUUAAAGUUGAGGUGAAUUACAAUAUUUUUGAAUAUAACGGAUAUAUUAUUUAAAAUUUUAUUGAAGGUGGAUUUAAUAGUAAUUUUAAUAAUAGUGUUAAUUUGAUUUUAGCUCUAAAAUAAGUACACAUCGCCCGUCGCUCUA